GAAAAGGCAGUGCGCAGAAGAGUACCGCGGAACCAACUGAAAAAGCGAUCGGCAGAGGGUGAAAGGCCGAAGGGAAGUCCGUGGGAAGAUGAUCUGCAAGCCGCGGCUGUGAGCUGGACAUGUCCAGGUGAGCGGCCGACGGGUUCGCCCGUUACCGCGAACACGGUUCUUCCCUGCAGGACAGAGAACGACCGAAUGAGGCUGAGUCAGCGAUGGCUUGGUAAAGAAAGGUGGUAACACGGAGGCUUCCGUCCUUUUU
rnacentral:ncRNA from 1 species